GGUGAGAUGGCCGAGCGGUCUAAGGCGCCAGACUAAGGUUCUGGUUUGGAACCGAAAUUCAUCUAGUCUCUUCGGGGGCGGGAGUUCGAAUCUCCCUCUCAUCA
rnacentral:tRNA from 1 species